GACAGAGGAGCCAAGCGUUGUCCGGAUUGACUGGGCGUAAAGCGCACGCAGGCGGGGGCGCGCGGGGGGGGUGAAACCUGGCCGCUUAACGGCCAGCGGCCAUCCCAUACGGCGCGCCUGGAGCCUUGCAGAGGGCGGUGGAAUUGCCGGUGUAGUGGUGAAAUGUGUUGAUAUCGGAAGGAACGCCGGUGGCGAAAGCGACACACUGGGUCUCAACUGACGCUGAGGCACGAAAGCCAGGGGAGCGAACGGG
rnacentral:rRNA from 1 species